UCACUUCACCUUUGGACCAAAGAAACUGCCUUUGAAUUGACUACAGAUUGUUUAUCCCCUUGAAACUCCAGCAGCCGCAGGACAGAACCUAGCAAGUUUGCCAGGCUCUAAACUUCACAUCAAUAUGCAUCUGGCUUGGCUGUGCCUGAUCUCAUAUAGGACAGACAACUGGGACCUAAGGAAAGCUGCUACUGUACAGUAA
rnacentral:lncRNA from 1 species